rnacentral:lncRNA from 1 species
CUAUGAUAUGCAGAGGGUUAAGGGUGGGCUGGAAGAAGGGAAGCCGCACACACCAAAGGCAGAUUGCUGGGAUGUUAGAAGAGAUCAGCGAUGAAGAAAAAGACAAAGGACAUGGACAGCUGGAGCCUGGAGCCCUAGUGUCUGACCCAGGUUAUAGAAUGAAACAGGUUAAUUUUGUGGACCAAAAUUUCUGAAGCUUCAGAGGAAAAAGAACACAAGACUUCUCUACAAUGCUAUGUUCUAAAUACCUCUUGGCCAGCUAACUGGACAAAGAAAAAGCCUGCUCUGCAUUCCCCCCUCAUGUUUCAAAGAUGACCUGUCAAGACCACAUUAAAAUCUUACAACCAGC